UACUGGUGGUAGACAUGUGGGUUCACACCGAGCAAGACUUCAUCCUUCUACAUUAGAAGCAUUGAUAUGCACUCAAAAUUGGUUGGUAAAUGACAAAAAAGAAGCGACUCCACUAGUCACCAUGAAUGAUGAAGAUAAUGAUGUAGAUCCAACUAUGGAGCCAUACAUAGUUGAUCUUGAUGAUUAAGGUAGCAGAUCAAUAAAGAAGAUCUUGAUGACGCAUCAAAAGUGGAGUGCUAUGUUGCAUAUGAUAGUUUUAUUUUACUUUGUUCUCUUGAGAAACUCUCAAAAGUGGAGUACUAUGUUGCAUAUGAUAGUUUUGUUUUACUUUGUUCUAUUGAGAAACUCUCAAAAGUGGAAUGCUAUGUUGCAUAUGA